GAUUAUUUUAGAGGCAUAUGGUAAAAUUGGAACGAUACAAAAUGAUUAGCAUGGUUCUACAGCAAGGAAGACAUACAUAAAUUGGAAACCUUUUUUUUUUUU